GACAGAGGGUGCAAACGUUGCUCGGAAUUACUGGGCGUAAAGCGCGUGUAGGUGGAUUGGUGUGUCAGAUGUGAAAUCCCUGGGCUCAACCCAGGAACUGCACCUGAAACUACCAGUCUUGAGUGGUGGAGAGGGAAGUGGAAUUCCUGGUGUAGAGGUGAAAUUCGUAGAUAUCAGGAGGAACACCAGUGGGCGAAGGCGCUUCCGUGGACACCAACUGACGCUGAGACGCGAAAGCGUGGGGAGCAAACAGG
rnacentral:rRNA from 1 species